UGGCCGUGCAUACUAAUAAUAAAUAAAUAAAUACAUUCCAUAUACAAUUUCCUCUUCCAUGGUGCAUUUUGUUAUUCGUAUCGCAGCGAACGUUAUUUUUUUGUACGUCGCCGCCGCCGCGUUGAGUUUUACUUAGACAGCAACUAGAGCAGCGACUAAGUACAAUAACAACAACAGCAACUGCAACAACUGAACACUGAAAUAAUAGCAA